ACUGCUCAGUAACACGUGGACAAUCUGCCCUGAAGAAGAGAAUAAUCCCGGGAAACUGGGGGUAAUGCUCUAUAGUCCGGGGAAACUGGAAUGUUUCCCGGAUGAAAGAUCCGUCGCUUCAGGAUGAGUCUGCGGCCGAUUAGGUAGUUGUUGGGGUAAAAGCCCAACAAGCCCGUAAUCGGUACGGGUUGUGGGAGCAAGAGCCCGGAGAUGGAUUCUGAGACACGAAUCCAGGCCCUACGGGGCGCAGCAGGCGCGAAAACUUUACAAUGCGGGCAACCGUGAUAAGGAAACCCCGAGUGCCAGCACAGGCUGGCUGUCCACCAGUGUAAAAAACUGGUGAAGAAAGGGCCGGGCAAGACCGGUGCCAGCCGCCGCGGUAAUACCGGCGGCUCGAGUGGUGGCCGCUUUUACUGGGCUUAAAGGGUCCGUAGCUGGAUUCACAAGUCCCUUGAGAAAUCUAUCGGCUUAACUGAUAGGCGUUCAGGGGAUACUGUGGUUCUAGGGACCGGGAGAGGUGAGAGGUACUGCCGGGGUAGGAGUGAAAUCCUGUAAUCCCGGUGGGACGACCUAUGGCGAAGGCAUCUCACCAGAACGGCUCCGACAGUGAGGGACGAAAGCUGGGGGAGCAAACCGGAUUAGAUACCCGGGUAGUCCCAGCUGUAAACGAUGCGCGUUAGGUGUGUCAGUGACCACGUGUCACUGAGAUGCCGAAGGGAAACCGUGAAACGCGCCGCCUGGGGAGUACGGUCGCAAGGCUGAAACUUAAAGGAAUUGGCGGGGGAGCA
rnacentral:rRNA from 1 species